AUUUGUUCAGCUUUUAGCAGUAAAACCACUUGAAGUAACAGUGACACUGGGGAACUUCACUGAGUGAACCCAUGCAGCUCAUGAGGACACGUCUUCACUUGUGCCUCUGAUCACUGAGACUGAAGCAGCUGAUAUCAAUUAAACAUCUACAGCCAUACAAUGUCUCCCAACACCUCUCUGCCUGUUCACAUCCUCAAGUCUCCCAAGAAUGACCAAACAACAACGGUGGACAUCGACGCCAUCAUGGACAAUGUCUCCAUCGUCCUCUACACACUGACCGUUGUGCUUGGCAUCACAGGGAACUCUGCGGUGAUCUGGGUGGCUGGAUUCAAGCUCAAGCCAAAGGUGACCAACGUGUGGCUGGUGAAUCUGGCGAUAGCAGAUCUCAUCUUCUGCUUCACACGAGUCUUCUCCCUCAUUAAGAAGCUCUUCUUUGACUACUGGCCAUUUGGCAUAUUUGUCUGCAAGUUCAAUGGCUUCUUCAAAUACGCCAACAUGUUCUGCUCUGUCUUUCUACUGGCUGUGAUCAGCCUGGACCGAGCGCUCUGCAUCUGGCAGCCUAUUUUCACCAAACGCCACCGCACCCUGUGGGUUGCCAGGCUGGUGGCACUGUGCAUCUGGAUCACCGCAGUUGUCUUCAGCACUCCGUACUUCAUCUACCGCCAAGUCUACCUGGGUAAGAACAACCUGAGCAAGUGCUCAGUGGAUGCGAAGCAGGCAGUGGAGGAGGACCAGAGCAGCAAAGUGGCUCUCUACACAAUCCGCUUCCUGUGUGGCUUCAUGCUGCCUUUCACGGUCAUUGUCAUCUGUUACAUCCUGGCCGGACUCGGCAUCCAACGCACGCGCCUGUCAGGGAAAGCGCGUCCUCUGCGUAUAUUAGCAUCCUUAGUCAUUGCAUUUUUCCUGUGCUGGGCGCCAUACCACUGCCUCCUGCUGGUGAAGAUGGUGGACAGUAAAAGUAAGGUGGUGAAGGUCUGGCACCCUGUGGCGAAGGGCAUCGCCUACUUUAACAGCUGUGUGAACCCAAUACUGUACUUCUGCAUGGGGCUGGAUGUGAGGGGGCGGUUCAGGCAGAGUCUGACGGGGGUGUACAAGAGAGCCCUGGCCGAGGACAUGGAGGGACAGAUGACACAGUCCAACGAACGCUCUUUGGAUGACAGCAGCAUGUCCAAACAAACUGCUGUAGUGGCGGCAGCAGGAGACAGACGUCAGUGGAUGUAGCUGAAGUCUCCUAAACAUCAUUAAGCUUUAAAAGACCAUAUAAGUGGUUUGUCGUGUUUUAAUCCAUUAACAUCACAGUUACUUUCACACAUAUGAACUCCAGUCUAUGUCUGGGUAGAGCACCCAAGAGUCAGGACACGACGUGGUCACGUAGCUAGUUUGCAAUUUACUUUCUCAUAAACAACUGAGUCUCUUGCCAUAAAUUAAAUUCAUCUGAUGACCACCAGCUCUCAACAUAAUAAGUUCCCAAAUCUCAUUGUAUCUCCAGUUAUGUAUUGUCUUUGGCGUCUUCAUUGUAAAUGACCUUUUUUCUUUUCACCAUCAGAUGUUUGCAUUCUUCCAAUUACGCACCAGUCAAAUGAUAGAGCACCACCAACACACCCACUAGCUCGCUGUGAAUUCUCCAGACUAUAUGAUGCUGUUUCAUCACACAGGCUCACUCGGAUUUAACACAGACUUUGCACCAGGGAGCUGGCAGGGUAAACUCUGCUUAACGCCCCCAUCAGCUGAUUCAGGCCUUUGCAUUCUCACAUACAGAUCUGUUUCCUUGACCGACCUGUUGCUGACCCUGAUGCUCAUCCUAGCUAAUAAGCCACACUCUAGUUUAAUUACUGUACGCUCUAAUCUACAAAACAGGGAAGUGUUUUUGUGAAUUUAGAUGUCUAAGAAGUUUUCAUUUUCACUGUGUUAUGAGUGCACUGAACUGAAUCGUGAGCUGGUU